GACGAACGCUGGCGGCGUGCUUAACACAUGCAAGUCGAACGGAAAGGCCUGCUUUCCCUUGUGGAUUGCGGGUACUCGAGUGGCGAACGGGUGAGUAACACGUGAGUGAUCUGCCCCCAACUUGGGUAUAAGCCUGGGAAACUGGGUCUAAUUCCCGAUAGGACUGCAGGGUGGUGCCUGUGGUGGAAAACGAUUUUCUAGUGGUUGGGGAUGAGCUCGCGGCCUAUCAGCUUGUUGGUGGGGUAAUGGCCUACCAAGGCGGCGACGGGUAGCCGGCCUGAGAGGGUGGACGGCCACAUUGGGACUGGGAUACGGCCCAGACUCCUACGGGAGGCAGCAGUGGGGAAUAUUGCACCAUGGGCGGAAGCCUGAGGCAGCGACGCCGCGUGGGGGAUGACGGCCUUCGGGUUGUAAACUCCUUUCGACCGCGAGGAAGCCACCUGGUUGGAAGGGUGGUGACGGUAGUGGUAGAAGAAGCACCGGCUAACUACGUG
rnacentral:rRNA from 1 species